rnacentral:lncRNA from 1 species
UUACUUAGGAGAUAUUCCUCACCCAAAUUCACAAUCGCUUGUUUAGAAAUCAAUAACUUGGGGCACAAGUUAUCUGUUUCAAAGAAGUCUGUUAUGAUUUUUUAUUGCUAGCAGUGGCACACUCGCACACCAAAAAAAGUUGGCUUGUUGACCAGUCAAUGGUUUUCAAGGCAAUUGAGAACUUUGCCCUUCCAUCACAGGAAGAAAAAACAAAACGGGUGAACAGUUAUCCACGUAGCAUUAUUGUUAAAAUUAUUUCGUGCACUACUGGUAAUUGUAAUUAGUUAACUUCAACUAAUUUGUUAUCUGGUAAACCCCAAAAUUAAGAAUCUUAAUCCUAAGAAAAGAUGAAACAUAAAAGCUUGCAUCAGCAGAUUACUUUACCUCCAUGAAAAUUCCAUCCACUCCAACAGCAACUGUUAUCCUUGCAAUGC